rnacentral:lncRNA from 1 species
ACUGUGCGAGAGGUAGCACCUGAGAACUGGUACCCGAAGAGCGGAGGAGGCGCGUGUGCAACCAUUGCCCGGGAUCAGUAUGUGCAUUUAAAGGUGAAGACCAGAGUCAGCACAGCUAGAGGCUCUCCUCAAGCAUCAGAAUGACACAAAGAGCCUCCAGAAAGAUACAUUUUCCAGCAGGCCUCCCUGUCAGUACAGAAACA